ensembl:lncRNA LINC00320 long intergenic non-protein coding RNA 320
AGGAAUAAAAGUACAUUGUAGGUCAGGGGUUGGGACUUUUUCUAUAAUAGGCCUAAUAGCAAAUAUUUUAGGCAUUGAAGGCCAUGUGUUGGUCUUUACAUUUUUCAACCUUACUCUUGUAGUGCAAAAAUAGACAUUAACAACAUAUGUGGCAAUAAGUGUAACUGUGUUCUAACAAAAUCACACAGGCAGAGGACUGACUCUUGUUGUAGGCAAAUAUAUUAACAUGAAAGGGUAGAUAAAUAUGGUGAUACAAAGAGAUGGAAGAAUGAAAAACUUUGUCACUAUUAGCAGAUUGACUGUUGUCAGUAAAGUCAGAGUGAGGAAGGAUGGCUAAAGGGUUAUAGUGAUGAUAUUAGAAGCAGAAUUGCCUAGGAGACUAUUGAAAGGAAUAGCUUCUAAGCUUAUGCUAUAUAAUAAUAGAGAAAGGAGUAGGGUAGGCUGAAAAUUCAAGUGGAAAAAACUUUCUUCAGCUGGCCAGAUGCAGUGGCUCACGUCUGUAAUUGCAGCACUUUGGAAGCCUGAGGUGGGCAGAUCACAAGGUCAGGAGUUCAAGACCAGCCUGGCCAACAU